UAUCGUAGUCUAGCCACGAAUAGCAAAUUUCAUAUGAUCUGUAUUGAUCGGGUUACUAUGACCUCCUGCAUUGCGGACUUGACCUGUACUAACACAACCUACAUGAACUGAUUUUACCUGACCAAUUCUACGCAACUCCGAAUUGUCACCUGUAGUUGUAGAUGUAUGAUAUCGUCUCCUCUGUCACCUUGUGUAGACAUUGAUUCUUUUCCUGUGGCUGAAUUUCAUUACCUGAAUUCCCUGGUCAUCCUCUCACUCCAUGAUGGCUGAGCAUCAAAAUGCAGAUGAUGUGACAGAUGGCGUGAGAAGUCGUAAGACAACAGAGAAGGGAGCUCAGUAUCGACUCGGUGUAAAACAAAAGGUGUACAAGAGAGCAUUGAGUGCAGUAAGGUCCAGUGGUCAGAGGCUGAUUGAAGUUAUGUCUGCAAACGAAGGCAUAGGAUGUGUCAAAGCUGAGCUCGAGAACUGGCUGAAGCUGUGUCAGGAGCUGACGUCAUCUGAUCACGAGUUAAGGUCCCUGCUUCCAGAUGAUGAGAUCGAUUACCAUGUGAGUAGGCAUUUGAGUCAGCUUGAUGACAAUGAUGCCAUGAAGGCAAAGGUGUUGAAGUAUCUUGCGGACAUCAAGCCCGAAGAAAUGCCUGCUGAUGGUGUUGAGCCUCAAGAUAGUGCCUCAAACCUCUUUGUGACGUCAAGAACUGCUCUGUCUAGAGUCAGUCAACAUUCAGAUGGGGGAAGCUCGACGUUGAGCUCCGCCAAGCUGAAGGAGAGACAAAAGCAAGCAGAACUGGCAGCAAGAGCAGCUGUUAUCAAGAAAAGCCAAGAAAUGAACAAGAGGAAACUGGAACUGCAGUGUGAGGAGGAAGACAUGAAGUUGAUGACAGAGUUUGCUGUCAGCCAAGCAAGGGAAAGAGCCAUUGAUGAUUUUGAAAGAGAUAUGAAUGACACCACCAGAAACCAAGAUGCAUUCCAAGCAACGACAGCAAGACGCAUGUCCCAGUUGAUGCUGGACCUGCCACCCCAAGAUGCUGCCCCAAGAACCCGAGUCCCACAGACAAGUCAGCAGCAAAGGCCAGCGUCAAAUGUCCAUGCUCCACAGACAAGUGAACAGGAGCAGAGCAUGGAUGUUAUCCAGGGCCUCGUAAAUCUGUUGCAGCGUGAAGUAAAGCAGAGCCACCUUCCUGCUCUGGAACCGGACGUGUUCUAUGGUGAUGUGGCAAAGUUUGAGUUGUGGCUCAAGUCAUUUGAAACAUACAUAGAAGCCAAGACCAGCUCUCCAAUCGAAAGACUGCAUUACCUGGGUAAAUACACUGAAGGUGAAGCGAAGGCGGCAAUUCUUGGAUUCAUCCAGCUGCGGACAGAAGAUGCUUAUCAAGAGGCAAAGAACAGACUCAAUGACAGAUACGGAAACGAGUUUGUACGAGCAGCCGCAUACAAACGACGGAUCCGAAACUGGCCAAAUAUCAAGAGUGGAGAUGGCAAGGCUCUGAGAGAGUUCGCAGACUUUCUUCAGCAGUGUGAUGCCUUGUCAAGGACGUCUGGGCACUUGAAGGUGUUGGACGACCAGCAUGAAAACAGCUACAUGUUGAAGAAGCUGCCCAAACAUGUGGUUGAUCGUUGGAGAAGAUAUGUGGAUCAGCGACUGUAUGAGCCACAAGAUGGUGAGCCAGCGGAAUAUCCUUUAUUCAAGGAAUUCGUGAAGUUCCUGGCGAAGGAGGCGAGAGUGGCCUGUGGUCCCGUCGAAGACUCUGCCAACAAAGAAGAGAAGGAUGUGCGCAGAGACAGGAGAGUUGUAAGAGCGCUCCAGACGACUGCUGCACCAGCCUCAAAGAGGGACAGCCACAGUGUUGUCAGACCAGGGUGUGUGGUGUGCUCUGACCGCUCAGGUGUUUCAGUUGCUGCCGCUCACCCAGUGGCAGAGUGUGAACAGUUUACCAAGAUGGCCCUUGAAGAGAAGCAGGCUGCAGUGAUGAAGUAUGGACUCUGCAGAGGAUGCUUGAGGCGUGGACAUGUCUGGCGGUCCUGCCAAAGGAAGAUGAAGUGUGAAACCUGUGGAAAAGGUCACCCCACUGCCCUUCAUGAUGACAAGUUUCCUGUUGCAGCACAGAGCAGGGCAAUCAGCGAAACUCGGAGGGACCUCAUUCAGCGCGGAGAUGCUGAGACUCAGAGGAGGAGCAGUCGGCCUGAAGGAGCAACGGACCAGCUCCAAGCUACAUCCCUGCGUGUGAUGUCCGGAGUUGGAGAUAAGAGACCAGGCUGCGUCCACUCAAUGAUCCUGCCUGUGUUCGUUCGUCACAGGGAGCACCCUGAUGUCAAGGUUCUAACCUAUGCUGUCCUUGACCCACAGUCUGACGCGUGCUUUGUGACAGGCGGCACUUGCGAGGCUCUCCAGAUCCAGGGUCAGCCAGUCUCCCUGGAGCUGAAGACAGUCACGGGCCAGUCAGUUGUGUCCAGCUCAGUCGUUGACGACCUGGUGAUUGAGCCUGUGCAGGGAGGUGACAGCAUCGUCCUUCCUCAGUGCUAUUCGCGUGAGGUGAUUCCAGCAGAGCGUUCGUGCAUCCCCAGAAGAGAGUCUGCCAGGAAGUGGUCUCACCUGGCACCGAUCGCAGAUGAGAUACCGCUGUACUACCCUGCAGCUGGAAUCGGCCUUCUCGUCGGGAUGAACUGCCCAAAAGCCGUGAAGCCCAGAGACGUCAUCACAGGUGACGACAACGACCCGUGGGCUGUAAGGACCGUACUGGGAUGGGGCAUCGUAGGCCCUGUCUGUGACAGCGAGAACAUCAAUUCUGGAUGCCAGUACAUCGACGCAGGAAAAGGAACCCGCAGGCUGUGUCACUUCGCAUUCAGGACUACAGCUCAUGAGAUGACUCCUCAGCAGCUUCACGAGAUGUUUGACCAGGACUUUGUGGAGACAAGAGAGGAGAAACCACAGUCAGUUGAAGACAGGAUGUUCCUGAAGAUGAUGUCCGAAGAGAUCCAUCAGAAAGAAGACGGGCACUACGAGAUGCCGCUUCCGCUGAAGGGAGACGUCAGACUGCCGAACAACAGAGCUGCAGCAGUGCAGCGCCUCAAAGGACUCCGCUCGAAGCUAGUACGAAAUGAUGCAUUCCGGCGUGACUACACAACGUUCAUGGAAGCCACGAUCGCCAAUGGUCACGCUGAGAAGGUCCCAACAGAUGAACAGCAGCUCAGCGAUGGCAGGGUAUGGUAUUUGCCCCACCACGGCAUAUACCACCCGAAGAAGCCGGACAAAAUCCGUGUCGUUUUUGACUGUAGCACCGAAUUUGGUGGAGAGGUGCUGAACAGUCAUCUAUUGCAAGGACCCGACAUGACGAACAGCCUCGCCGGAAUCCUCUGUCGUUUUCGGAUGAGACCGAUCGCUCUUACAUGUGAUAUCAGAGGCAUGUUCAAUCAGGUGGGGGUCAACAGAACCGAUCGUAACUUCCUGAGGUUCCUCUGGUGGGAAAACGGUGACGUGUAUCAGGAGCCCGAGGAGUACCGAAUGACGACACAUUUGUUCGGCGCAAGAUCUUCACCAGCAUGUGCUAUGUUCGCCCUCAGAACAGCAGCCGACAGCUACGCAGAUGAAAGUGGAAAAGAAGCUGCCGACUUCGUAAGAAGAAACUUUUACAUCGACGACGGUCUCACGUCCGUAGAUGACGAAGACACAGCUGUGCGCCUCAUCGACGCGACUCGCCAGUUGUGUAAGCAGGGUGGAUUUGAACUACACAAGCUGUCGUCUAACAGCGUUGAAGUCCUGAAAUCUGUGCCGCCAGAGAGCCGCUGCUCUACUACGCAGAGUCUGGAAGCCGGAGCGGGCAGGCUGCCCAUCCAGCGUGCUCUUGGCAUAGAGUGGGACACAGAAAACGACGUACUUCAGUUCAGUGUGAAGCCCAACGAUAAACCACCAACUAGAAGGGGGAUGCUGUCUGUGGUUAGCUCCAUAUUUGACCCCCUCGGCUUCAUCUCUCCAUUUAUUCUGAGAGGCAAGCAGAUUCUAAAGGAGUUGUGCCGUGAUGGUCUCGGCUGGGACGACCCAGUCCCAGAGACUCUGCUGAUGCGCUGGAAUGAAUGGAUGUCAGAGCUGGAGACCCUGUCAACCCUGAAAAUUCGAAGAUGUUACACACCGAUGGACUUCGGAGCCUUGCAACAAGUGGAACUGCACCACUUCUCCGAUGCCAGCACGCACGGAUACGGUCAGUGCAGUUACCUCCGCCUCAUAGACGACCAGAACAGAGUCAGCUGUAGACUUGUGAUGAGUAAGGCCAGGGUGACUCCUUCCAAACCCGUUACAGUCCCUCGCCUCGAGCUCACCGCAGCACUGAUUUCUGUUCAAGUGAGCAGCUUCCUUCAGAAAGAACUUGACCUCGGCAGUGUCGCCGAAUUCUUCUGGACCGACAGCAAGGUGGCCAUCGGCUACAUCUCCAACGAGGCCAGACGCUUCCACGUGUUUGUGGGAAACCGAGUCCAACAGAUUAGGGAUCGUACCGAGCCCCGUCAAUGGCGGUACGUCGAGUCCAAGACGAAUCCAGCUGACCUCGCCUCAAGAGGCACGAGCGCCGCCGAGCUCAGAGACAGCACCCUGUGGUGGUUCGGACCAGCAUUCCUGAACAGUGCGGACCCACUCCCGGAUCAGAACGUGAGCCCAACUGUGGACCAGAGUGACCCUGAGGUGAAGCACGCCAUUCGGCCAGUCGUUACGCUUCAGACUGCAGCAUCAGCGACACGUCCCCUUGCAUCUGUGACCGAGAGACUUCAGCGAUUCUCGACCUGGCACCGGGCCAAAAGAGUUGUUGCGCUGUGUCUGAGGUACAUGGACGCGCUGCAGGGACGGCGCCACUCAGUUGGACAACCACUGACGGUUGAAGACCUGCAAAGAGCAGAGACAGCGAUGAUAAGGGCUACGCAAGCUGAAGCGUUCCCAGAAGAGCUGAAAGUGUUGAAGAAGAUGAAGACUGAUGAAGUGAAGAUGAGUGUCAAGAAGACCAGCAGGCUCGUGAGGUUGGAUCCUUUCCUUGGAGCCGAUGGAUUGAUUCAUGUAGGCGGCAGGAUCCGGAGGGCAGAACUACCAGUGACUGAGCUGCACCCAGUCAUCCUCCCGCGAGCAAGUCACGUCACACGCUUACUUGUCGGCCACUGCCACCAGAGAACCCGCCACGCUGGCCGCGGGAUGACCCUAGCGGAGAUCCGCUCUGCAGGGUUCUGGGUAGUUGGAGCCAGAGGUGUAGUCUCGCGCCACAUCCUGGCCUGUGUGACCUGCAAGAAGAUCCGUGGAUCUCCAGUGGAGCAGAAGAUGGCUGACCUGCCGGAAGACCGCCUGAGCCCUGCCGAGCCGUUCACGCACAGUGCAGUGGACCUGUUCGGCCCGUUUUACAUCAAGGAACGGCGGAGCGAGCUCAAACGAUGGGGAGUUCUGUUCACUUGCAUGGCAUCAAGGGCUGUGCAUAUUGAGACGGCCAAUUCCCUCACGACAGACUCCUUCUUGAAUGCUUUCAGGAGGUUUGUCGGUAGACGCGGCCCAGUGAGAACGCUACGCUGCGACAGGGGCACAAAUUUCGUCGGCGGGAAGAACGCGAUGGAAGAAGCUUUGAAAGAAAUGGACCACGACAAAGUUCAAAGGGAGCUCCUGAAAGAGAACUGUGAUCUCGUCGAGAUGAAGAUGAAUGUGCCGUGCGCCAGCCACAUGGGCGGCACGUGGGAGCGGAUGAUUCGCUCCGCAAGAGCUGCACUCAGCGCUGUACUGAUCAGCCACGCCGGUCAGCUCGACGACGAGACGCUGAGAACAGUGAUGGUGGAGGCCGAAGCAAUCAUGAACAGCCGUCCCAUAUCCUCUCCCGACAUGACCCAAACUGACCUAGUAGAACCGCUAACACCUAACCAAAUACUAACUCAAAAGACUAGACGAGUACUGCCCCUCCCUGGUAGAUUCCAGUCAGCAGAUGCUUACUCUCGCCAGCGCUGGCGUAGAGUCCAGCUAGUAGCAGACCGCUUCUGGUCAAGAUGGAGGACGGAGCUCUUGUCUUCACUCCAAGAGCGCCGACGAUGGACGUCGGCGAGGCCCAACGUUCAACCGGGCGACGUCGUGCUCCUGAUGGAGGAAUCUCCGAGAGGCAGCUGGCCUCUGGGCCGGAUCGUCGAGGCCGUGCCCGGCCGUGACGGCCUGGUGAGGAAGGUGAAGGUUCGCUCCGGAGGCCGGGACCUGGAGCGGCCUGUGCACGGCAUCGUCAGCCUGACGCGCUGAGCGGCGUGGCCGCUGAGCGGCAUGGCCGGCGCGGCAGAGACCGGGACCUGACCGUGGCGACUCUCAGCCCGGGCGCCGAGCGGGGUGAGAUGUGAUACAGACUCAGUGAAUGGAGGACUCGAGCGGCGGAUGUGGCCGUGCGAUGGCGAUCCAGGGUGGUGUCUCCAUCUGCGGGUGGCCGUCGCUAUCCGACAUCUGACUGAUCGGAGCCAGUGUGUGUACCUAUUCACCGGCAGGGAGUUGUGUCAGCCGAGACACGCACUCUGACGUGCGGACUGUGGUGUUAUGAGGAGCCACGCGCUGUGAGAACGCAUUCCUAAGUGUUACGAGGAGCCACUCGUGUUGUGAAAGGUGCAUUUUGAGCGUCAUGGGGAGUCACACGUGCCGUGAGAAGUGCUCACCUAAGCGUUAUGAGAAGUCAUGAGUCAUGCGCAGUCAUAUGCGUGGCGAUAAGUGUGUGGGAGAUGCUAGAGAAGUAAAUUUUGUUUACCAAAUUUAGAGGAGCCAUGUAACCGCGAGUGUCGCGGGCCGUAUAUUUUGGGUGCCUCGUCCUCCGUCGGCGAAAGGCAUUAGCGGCGCGGUGGAGGCAAAGAGUUCGGCCGCGUGGCGGCGUCACGAACGUUCCGCAUUGUUUGGAUGAAUUGAAAGGCAGAAAGGCGCAAACGAUAAUUUACGGCAUAAUACAGCUAUGUCACUGAA